rnacentral:rRNA from 1 species
UACGGAGGGGGCUAGCGUUGUUCGGAAUUACUGGGCGUAAAGCGCACGUAGGCGGCUUUGUAAGUUAGAGGUGAAAGCCCGGGGCUCAACUCCGGAAUUGCCUUUAAGACUGCAUCGCUAGAGUUGUGGAGAGGUAAGUGGAAUUCCGAGUGUAGAGGUGAAAUUCGUAGAUAUUCGGAAGAACACCAGUGGCGAAGGCGACUUACUGGACACAUACUGACGCUGAGG